CCUACGGGUGGCAGCAGUAGGGAAUAUUGGUCAAUGGACGAAAGUCUGAACCAGCCAUCCCGCGUGCAGGAUGACGGCCCUAUGGGUUGUAAACUGCUUUUGUACAGGAAGAAUAAGCUCUACGUGUAGAGUGAUGACGGUACUGUAAGAAUAAGGAUCGGCUAACUCCGUGCCAGCAGCCGCGGUAAUACGGAGGAUCCAAGCGUUGUCCGGAUUUAUUGGGUUUAAAGGGUGCGUAGGCGGCUUAUUAAGUCAGUGGUGAAAGUUUGCGGCUCAACCGUAAAAUUGCCAUUGAAACUGAUAAGCUUGAAUUUGGUUGAGGUUGCCGGAAUGUGUCAUGUAGCGGUGAAAUGCUUAGAUAUGAUACAGAACACCGAUUGCGAAGGCAGGUAACUAAGCCAAUAUUGACGCUGAGGCACGAAAGCGUGGGGAUCAAACAGGAUUAGAUACCCGAGUAGUC
rnacentral:rRNA from 1 species